GCCAGCCAUGGUGGUGCGUGCCUGUAAUUCCAGCAGCUUGGGAGGCUGAGGCAGGAGGAUCACAAGUUUAAGCAUAGCUUUAGCAAUUUAGCAAGACCCUGUCUCAA
rnacentral:sRNA from 1 species